CUCAGGUGCGAAAGCGUGGGGAGCAAACAGGAUUAGAUACCCUGGUAGUCCACGCCGUAAACGAUGUCGAUUUGGAGGUUGUGCCCUUGAGGCGUGGCUUCCGGAGCUAACGCGUUAAAUCGACCGCCUGGGGAGUACGGCCGCAAGGUUAAAACUCAAAUGAAUUGACGGGGGCCCGCACAAGCGGUGGAGCAUGUGGUUUAAUUCGAUGCAACGCGAAGAACCUUACCUGGUCUUGACAUCCACAGAACUUUCCAGAGAUGGAUUGGUGCCUUCGGGAACUGUGAGACAGGUGCUGCAUGGCUGUCGUCAGCUCGUGUUGUGAAAUGUUGGGUUAAGUCCCGCAACGAGCGCAACCCUUAUCCUUUGUUGCCAGCGGUCCGGCCGGGAACUCAAAGGAGACUGCCAGUGAUAAACUGGAGGAAGGUGGGGAUGACGUCAAGUCAUCAUGGCCCUUACGACCAGGGCUACACACGUGCUACAAUGGCAUAUACAAAGAGAAGCGACCUCGCGAGAGCAAGCGGACCUCAUAAAGUAUGUCGUAGUCCGGAUUGGAGUCUGCAACUCGACUCCAUGAAGUCGGAAUCGCUAGUAAUCGUAGAUCAGAAUGCUACGGUGAAUACGUUCCCGGGCCUUGUACACACCGCCCGUCACACCAUGGGAGUGGGUUGCAAAAGAAGUAGGUAGCUUAACCUUCGGGAGGGCGCUUACCACUUUGUGAUUCAUGACUGGGGUGAAGUCGUAACAAGGUAACCGUAGGGGAACCUGCGGUUGGAUCACCUCCUU
rnacentral:rRNA from 2 species